AUUGAACGCUGGCGGCAUGCCUUACACAUGCAAGUCGAACGGCAGCACGGGAGCAAUCCUGGUGGCGAGUGGCGAACGGGUGAGUAAUAUAUCGGAACGUGCCCAGUCGUGGGGGAUAACGCAGCGAAAGUUGUGCUAAUACCGCAUACGAUCUAUGGAUGAAAGCGGGGGAUCGCAAGACCUCGCGCGAUUGGAGCGGCCGAUAUCAGAUUAGGUUGUUGGUGAGGUAAAAGCUCACCAAGCCUGCGAUCUGUAGCUGGUCUGAGAGGACGACCAGCCACACUGGAACUGAGACACGGUCCAGACUCCUACGGGAGGCAGCAGUGGGGAAUUUUGGACAAUGGACGAAAGUCUGAUCCAGCAAUGCCGCGUGCAGGACGAAGGCCUUCGGGUUGUAAACUGCUUUUGUACGGAACGAAAAGACUCUUUCUAAUAAAGAGGGUCCAUGACGGUACCGUAAGAAUAAGCACCGGCUAACUACGUG
rnacentral:rRNA from 1 species